CCGGUCACCCGAACCCUUGUGGAGGGAGCCGUCGAAGGUGGGUCGGUGAGUUGGGUU
rnacentral:rRNA from 1 species